GACGAACCGUCCAAACGUUAUUCGGAAUCACUGGGCUUACAGAGUUCGUAGGCGGUCUGGAAAGUUGGGUGUGAAAUCCCUCGGCUCAACCGAGGAACUGCGCUUGAAACUACCAGACUCGAGGGAGAUAGAGGAAAGCGGAACUGAUGGUGGAGCGGUGAAAUGCGUUGAUAUCAUCAGGAACACCGGUGGCGAAGGCGCUUCUGGGUC
rnacentral:rRNA from 1 species